GACAUCGGAUACUGAUCCAUGAAGGAUCCUGACCCCAGCAUCAUCUUCGAUCGAAGGAUCUCUCAUCGAUCCUCGCCUCUAGCCAUAGGCUACAUUCUCUUCAACUAUUGCUGGCUGCCAUAUUUGGAAAGAUCGACCUCCAUCCGGUCCCAUCAAGUCACGUCACUCUACAUUGGACCAUACUACUUCAACGGCUAGCUGUGCGCUAGAUGAGGUCAUGUCACAUCACACC
rnacentral:lncRNA from 1 species